rnacentral:lncRNA from 1 species
AUUAGUACAGCGGUAAAAUCACGUCUUCAAAACUUUUCGUUUCGAUAAAAUCGUUUACGUUGAAAACCGAUCUCGGAAAUAUCUUAACUUGAAACACGUUCGUAAAUGAAUUGAAGGCAGUAAGCACUUAAAUAGGUUUGCAGUAAGGUAAUAGCAAGAAUAAAAUGUAAACCAGAGAAUAUGAUAGUUUUAGAGUGGUUCGGUCAACGUGACCUAUAUCCACUUUCGGCUUCCUCCUCCG